AUAGGUGUCUUAGGUGUUCUUUGGCUUGCAGAAAGCCGGCUGCUAUGCCGUAAACUGUUCUUAUGGAGAAGCCCACGUACCAAGGAACUGAAGUCUCCGGCCGGUGAGAAGUCUCUGCCAACAACCAGAAUUUUCUAGACUGGAGCAUUUCCCCUGUCAGCCUCCAGCCUCCACCCUGGCUUCAAACUGAAGCUCCUGCAGCCCCCUGACUUAAAAUGCCGUGCGAACUCCAUUAUUCCUUUCUUGAAAUGCAUCCACUCGAACUGCACAUUCUUUAUAAAGACUGAUGCAUUUGAGACAAAACCAGUAAGAAAGCAAGAAGCAGGAGCCAUCUUUAAGCAUCCCAAGUCAAAUCAAGCCUUUAAAGGUAGAAAUGAUAAAGAAGUUGUUUACUAUGGUCCAUUGUGAAAGAGAUCAUUUGGCACACAUCUCACAAAUGGAGAACAAAAAAUGGGAGUGGAGGUGGGAGAGGGGGGCGUACAUAUGUAGAAAUUACCAGAGUUUAGGCCCUUGGCUUCUCAGCCUGCGAAUCCUGGCUAUGAUCAGAUUUGGGUACACGAACUUUCCAGAGAUUGCUGGAGAAGAAAUCACCUGCUGGCUGUGUUCUGCUGGUUGGGUCGGGAAGGAAUAGGUUUACCCAAGCACUCAAUUUUUACUGCAGUUAUACAUGCCAGCACCAGGGGAAAUGGAUGGUAACCAAUUGUCUGUGUGCUUUUGUUAGUGUCUCUUUUCUGUGGGGUUGGUCUACCCAAUUACCGGAGCCCUUGAGAAUGCUUAUCGUCAAUGGGAGUAAUUUCACAUCCUAUCCAUUUAGUGAAAAGCUGUGAAAAUUGAUCUCGGUUCUGUGGUAAGAUUGGAACCAGAGCGCAGGCUACAGAUGCCUUGGAAAUAAAUAUGUGCCCAUCAUUGUUUUCAUUAGGUGUUGCAGUAGACCAGCCUCCAGGAGAAUGAACUCUAGUCGGGCUCUUUCUGUAGAAGUUCAGAUGUGUCCCCAACCUGGUGAAGUAGGCUGGCAGUUUCAUUUAUUGUUAGAUUUUUUGUAGUGGUUGUCAAGUAAGGGGCUGGCAGCCCUGAAGAGCGCAGUUCUCGGUUUUAUCCACAGACAGGAGACAAUGUAAUUUGACACUUACUGCCAAGGAGGAACCUGUCCUUCCAAUUCAGCUUAUUGGUUUUUGUUUUUUUUCUUCUUUUUCUUACGGGCUCUGUAGGAUUUCAAAAGUCUCUUCAAAGGGCAGCAAAAUUAGCCUUAAAUAGUAUUUCUUGGAUGGUUUUUAACAAUGGCAGUAAGGCCAAAGCUUCUCAUCUUGACAUAAGUGGUUCCUUUACAACUUGUUUUUAUCUUGCCAGAAAAAGCAAAAUACAGUACUUUAAAAUGUAUUUUCAUUAAGGCGAAAGACCUUGUUUUAGCUGAGAUCUGCAAGGAGAGAACCAAUCUGCAAAUGUGUUUCUUACAUCUCUCUUUAGCUUUCUGCUCCUAAAGCAAAAAGUAGGCGGGUUUUGUUUGUUUGUGUUGUAUUGAGGACUGGCCUUCACUUAGCACAAUUCACAUAGCAACAAAAAUUUGUGUUGCCUAAGUUCUACAUUUCACUGUCAAGAAUCAAACUUUUAAAGGGACAUUCAAAAAAAAAACUUUUUUUUUUUUUUUUUUAAAGGAGCGCUGGGUGGCUCAGUCG